rnacentral:lncRNA from 1 species
GAUUUAUGAAAGUUUCAGAUUUAAGUUAAAAAAAAAAAAUUAGUGGACAUGUGUCAUUAGCUAACCUAAUGGUGCCACCUAAGUUUGCUCUAAGGAUGACAUCUAGCACUUUUCAUGCAUGCUUAGCACUUUUCAUGCAUGCUUGCCACCUUGAAACUUUGCAACUCUUGUGUUAACCAAAAGUAAUUAAAUAAGAGAUUAAAGGAGAAACUAAAUGUAACCUUCUGCAUCCAACGUGAGUCUAAGAAGAGAAGAGAAGGGAAGAAGAAGAAGAGGAAUUGAAGAAGAAGAUUUGAUUGAGGUUUUUGCAUCAACUCCCCCUAUUUGGGAAUCAAAUUUGUUUAAGGCAAGUGUUCUAACCUCUUCCUAUAGAAUUCCUAAUCUCUGUUUUCCUUUUAAUUCUUCAUAAUUCAAAAGAUUUCAGCUUAGUACCAAACCGUUCUUUCCUUUUGAUACAAAGCCAAGAAUCUGAAAUCUUUUUGGUAAUCUGACUUCUAUACAUUGUUUUGGAUCUAACUUUUACCACUAAACUCUGAUUUAGGCAAAACCUAAUCCAUUUGAAAGUAGACUCAAAUAUCUUUAUUUUGACACUAAGAUUGAAUGAUUUGGAGUUUAAAUGCCUACUAAGACUUCUGUUUCAAUUAACCCUAUAAAUUCUGUAAAAUAGGGACUGAAAUUUCUGAUCUCUUGUUGCUUAACUACUUAUAACUUUCUGCUGUGAACUCAGAUUCAUAGAAAGUAUGAUUUAUUCGAAGCUAGACUCAAAAUGCUUUCUGUAUAUACCUGAUUUGAAAUUUUUGGAGUACAAUUGCUAACUGAAACAUCUGCUUUCAU